rnacentral:rRNA from 1 species
UACAGGGGGUGCAAACGUUGCUCGGAAUCAUUGGGCGUAAAGCGCACGUAGGCGGUCUGUUAUGUCGGAUGUGAAAGCCCUUGGCUCAACUGAGGAAGUGCAUCCGAAACUGGCAGGCUAGAGUACUAAAGAGGAUCGCGGAAUUCCCGGUGUAGAGGUGAAAUUCGUAGAUAUCGGGAGGAACACCGGUGGCGAAGGCAGCUCGCUGGGACGUUACUGACACUGAGGCGCGAAAGCGUGGGGAGCGAACAGG